rnacentral:rRNA from 1 species
UACGGAGGGUGCAAGCGUUAAUCGGAAUUACUGGGCGUAAAGCGCACGCAGGUGGCUGAGUCAGUCGAUUGUGAAAGCCCUGGGCUUAACCUGGGAAUUGCAGUCGAUACUACUCAGCUAGAGUAUGGGAGAGGGUAGUGGAAUUCCCGGUGUAGCGGUGAAAUGCGUAGAUAUGCGGAGGAACACCGAUGGCGAAGGCAGUCCCCUGGGCCUGUACUGACGCUCAUGCACGAAAGCGUGGGGAGCAAACAGG